rnacentral:rRNA from 1 species
AUUGAACGCUGGCGGCAGGCUUAACACAUGCAAGUCGAGCGGGGGAAGGUAGCUUGCUACUGGACCUAGCGGCGGACGGGUGAGUAAUGCUUAGGAAUCUGCCUAUUAGUGGGGGACAACAUCUCGAAAGGGAUGCUAAUACCGCAUACGUCCUACGGGAGAAAGCAGGGGAUCUUCGGACCUUGCGCUAAUAGAUGAGCCUAAGGCGGAUUAGCUAGUUGGUGGGGUAAAGGCCUACCAAGGCGGCGAUCUGUAGCGGGUCUGAGAGGAUGACCCGCAACACGGGGCCUGAGACAGGGCCCAGACGCCUACGGGGGGCAGCAGUGGGGAAUAUUGGACAAUGGGGGGAGCCCUGAUCCAGCCAUGCCGCGUGUGUGAAGAAGGCCUUAUGGUUGUAAAGCACUUUCAGUGGGGAGGAGGGCAAUUAGGUUAAUACCUUGCUGUUUUGACGUUACCAACAGAAUAAGCACCGGCUAACUUCGUGCCAGCCGCCGCCGUAA